rnacentral:rRNA from 1 species
GAACCUGAAACCGUGUACGUACAAGCAGUGGGAGCACCCUUCGGGGUGUGACUGCGUACCUUUUGUAUAAUGGGUCAGCGACUUAUAUUCUGUAGCAAGGUUAACCGAAUAGGGGAGCCGGAGGGAAACCGAGUCUUAAUUGGGCGUUAAGUUGCAGGGUAUAGACCCGAAACCCGGUGAUCUAGCCAUGGGCAGGUUGAAGGUUGGGUAACACUAACUGGAGGACCGAACCGACUAAUGUUGAAAAAUUAGCGGAUGACCUGUGGCUGGGGGUGAAAGGCCAAUCAAACCGGGAGAUAGCUGGUUCUCCCCGAAAGCUAUUUAGGUAGCGCCUCGUGAAUUCAUCUCCGGGGGUAGAGCACUGUUUCGGCUAGGGGGCCAUCCCGGCUUACCAACCCGAUGCAAACUGCGAAUACCGGAGAAUGUUAUCACGGGAGACACACGGCGGGUGCUAACGUCCGUCGUGAAGAGGGAAACAACCCAGACCGCCAGCUAAGGUCCCAAAGUCAUGGUUAAGUGGGAAACGAUGUGGGAAGGCCCAGACAGCCAGGAUGUUGGCUUAGAAGCAGCCAUCAUUUAAAGAAAGCGUAAUAGCUCACUGGUCGAGUCGGCCUGCGCGGAAGAUGUAACGGGGCUAAACCAUGCACCGAAGCUGCGGCAGCGACACUGUGUGUUGUUGGGUAGGGGAGCGUUCUGUAAGCCUGUGAAGGUGUGUCGUGAGGCAUGCUGGAGGUAUCAGAAGUGCGAAUGCUGACAUAAGUAACGAUAAAGCGGGUGAAAAGCCCGCUCGCCGGAAGACCAAGGGUUCCUGUCCAACGUUAAUCGGGGCAGGGUGAGUCGACCCCUAAGGCGAGGCCGAAAGGCGUAGUCGAUGGGAAACGGGUUAAUAUUCCCGUACUUGGUGUUACUGCGAAGGGGGGACGGAGAAGGCUAUGUUGGCCGGGCGACGGUUGUCCCGGUUUAAGCGUGUAGGUGUGUGUUCCAGGUAAAUCCGGUUCACUUUAACACUGAGGCGUGACGACGAGGCACUACGGUGCUGAAGCAACAAAUGCCCUGCUUCCAGGAAAAGCCUCUAAGCAUCAGGUAACAUCAAAUCGUACCCCAAACCGACACAGGUGGUCAGGUAGAGAAUACCAAGGCGCUUGAGAGAACUCGGGUGAAGGAACUAGGCAAAAUGGUGCCGUAACUUCGGGAGAAGGCACGCUGACACGUAGGUGAAGUGAUUUACUCAUGGAGCUGAAGUCAGUCGAAGAUACCAGCUGGCUGCAACUGUUUAUUAAAAACACAGCACUGUGCAAACACGAAAGUGGACGUAUACGGUGUGACGCCUGCCCGGUGCCGGAAGGUUAAUUGAUGGGGUCAGCGCAAGCGAAGCUCCUGAUCGAAGCCCCGGUAAACGGCGGCCGUAACUAUAACGGUCCUAAGGUAGCGAAAUUCCUUGUCGGGUAAGUUCCGACCUGCACGAAUGGCGUAAUGAUGGCCAGGCUGUCUCCACCCGAGACUCAGUGAAAUUGAACUCGCUGUGAAGAUGCAGUGUACCCGCGGCAAGACGGAAAGACCCCGUGAACCUUUACUAUAGCUUGACACUGAACAUUGAGCCUUGAUGUGUAGGAUAGGUGGGAGGCUUUGAAGCGUGGACGCCAGUCUGCGUGGAGCCGACCUUGAAAUACCACCCUUUAAUGUUUGAUGUUCUAACGUGGACCCGUGAUCCGGGUUGCGGACAGUGUCUGGUGGGUAGUUUGACUGGGGCGGUCUCCUCCUAAAGAGUAACGGAGGAGCACGAAGGUUGGCUAAUCCUGGUCGGACAUCAGGAGGUUAGUGCAAUGGCAUAAGCCAGCUUGACUGCGAGCGUGACGGCGCGAGCAGGUGCGAAAGCAGGUCAUAGUGAUCCGGUGGUUCUGAAUGGAAGGGCCAUCGCUCAACGGAUAAAAGGUACUCCGGGGAUAACAGGCUGAUACCGCCCAAGAGUUCAUAUCGACGGCGGUGUUUGGCACCUCGAUGUCGGCUCAUCACAUCCUGGGGCUGAAGUAGGUCCCAAGGGUAUGGCUGUUCGCCAUUUAAAGUGGUACGCGAGCUGGGUUUAGAACGUCGUGAGACAGUUCGGUCCCUAUCUGCCGUGGGCGCUGGAGAACUGAGGGGGGCUGCUCCUAGUACGAGAGGACCGGAGUGGACGCAUCACUGGUGUUCGGGUUGUCAUGCCAAUGGCACUGCCCGGUAGCUAAAUGCGGAAGAGAUAAGUGCUGAAAGCAUCUAAGCACGAAACUUGCCCCGAGAUGAGUUCUCCCUGAGACUUAGAGUCUCCUGAAGGAACGUUGAAGACGACGACGUUGAUAGGCCGGGUGUGUAAGCGCAGCGAUGCGUUGAGCUAACCGGUACUAAUGAACCGUGAGGCUUAACCUUACAACGCCGAAG